rnacentral:rRNA from 1 species
UUAAGCGACUAAGCGUACACGGUGGAUGCCCUGGCAGUCAGAGGCGAUGAAGGACGUGCUAAUCUGCGAUAAGCGUCGGUAAGGUGAUAUGAACCGUUAUAACCGGCGAUUUCCGAAUGGGGAAACCCAGUGUGAUUCGUCACACUAUCAUUAACUGAAUCCAUAGGUUAAUGAGGCGAACCGGGGGAACUGAAACAUCUAAGUACCCCGAGGAAAAGAAAUCAACCGAGAUUCCCCCAGUAGCGGCGAGCGAACGGGGAGGAGCCCAGAGCCUGAAUCAGUGUGUGUGUUAGUGGAAGCGUCUGGAAAGGCGCGCGAUACAGGGUGACAGCCCCGUACACAAAAAUGCACAUGCUGUGAGCUCGAUGAGUAGGGCGGGACACGUGGUAUCCUGUCUGAAUAUGGGGGGACCAUCCUCCAAGGCUAAAUACUCCUGACUGACCGAUAGUGAACCAGUACCGUGAGGGAAAGGCGAAAAGAACCCCGGCGAGGGGAGUGAAAAAGAACCUGAAACCGUGUACGUACAAGCAGUGGGAGCACAGAGCAAUCUGUGUGACUGCGUACCUUUUGUAUAAUGGGUCAGCGACUUAUAUUCUGUAGCAAGGUUAACCGAAUAGGGGAGCCGAAGGGAAACCGAGUCUUAACCGGGCGUUAAGUUGCAGGGUAUAGACCCGAAACCCGGUGAUCUAGCCAUGGGCAGGUUGAAGGUUGGGUAACACUAACUGGAGGACCGAACCGACUAAUGUUGAAAAAUUAGCGGAUGACUUGUGGCUGGGGGUGAAAGGCCAAUCAAACCGGGAGAUAGCUGGUUCUCCCCGAAAGCUAUUUAGGUAGCGCCUCGUGAAUUCAUCUCCGGGGGUAGAGCACUGUUUCGGCAAGGGGGUCAUCCCGACUUACCAACCCGAUGCAAACUGCGAAUACCGGAGAAUGUUAUCACGGGAGACACACGGCGGGUGCUAACGUCCGUCGUGAAGAGGGAAACAACCCAGACCGCCAGCUAAGGUCCCAAAGUCAUGGUUAAGUGGGAAACGAUGUGGGAAGGCCCAGACAGCCAGGAUGUUGGCUUAGAAGCAGCCAUCAUUUAAAGAAAGCGUAAUAGCUCACUGGUCGAGUCGGCCUGCGCGGAAGAUGUAACGGGGCUAAACCAUGCACCGAAGCUGCGGCAGCGACACUGUGUGUUGUUGGGUAGGGGAGCGUUCUGUAAGCCUGUGAAGGUGUGCUGUGAGGCAUGCUGGAGGUAUUAGAAGUGCGAAUGCUGACAUAAGUAACGAUAAAGCGGGUGAAAAGCCCGCUCGCCGGAAGACCAAGGGUUCCUGUCCAACGUUAAUCGGGGCAGGGUGAGUCGACCCCUAAGGCGAGGCCGAAAGGCGUAGUCGAUGGGAAACAGGUUAAUAUUCCUGUACUUGGUGUUACUGCGAAGGGGGACGGAGAAGGCUAUGUUGGCCGGGCGACGGUUGUCCCGGUUUAAGCGUGUAGGCUGGUUUUCCAGGCAAAUCCGGAAAAUCAAGGCUGAGGCGUGAUGACGAGGCACUACGGUGCUGAAGCAACAAAUGCCCUGCUUCCAGGAAAAGCCUCUAAGCAUCAGGUAACAUCAAAUCGUACCCCAAACCGACACAGGUGGUCAGGUAGAGAAUACCAAGGCGCUUGAGAGAACUCGGGUGAAGGAACUAGGCAAAAUGGUGCCGUAACUUCGGGAGAAGGCACGCUGAUAUGUAGGUGAAGUCCCUCGCGGAUGGAGCUGAAAUCAGUCGAAGAUACCAGCUGGCUGCAACUGUUUAUUAAAAACACAGCACUGUGCAAACACGAAAGUGGACGUAUACGGUGUGACGCCUGCCCGGUGCCGGAAGGUUAAUUGAUGGGGUCAGCGCAAGCGAAGCUCUUGAUCGAAGCCCCGGUAAACGGCGGCCGUAACUAUAACGGUCCUAAGGUAGCGAAAUUCCUUGUCGGGUAAGUUCCGACCUGCACGAAUGGCGUAAUGAUGGCCAGGCUGUCUCCACCCGAGACUCAGUGAAAUUGAACUCGCUGUGAAGAUGCAGUGUACCCGCGGCAAGACGGAAAGACCCCGUGAACCUUUACUAUAGCUUGACACUGAACAUUGAGCCUUGAUGUGUAGGAUAGGUGGGAGGCUUUGAAGUGUGGACGCCAGUCUGCAUGGAGCCGACCUUGAAAUACCACCCUUUAAUGUUUGAUGUUCUAACGUGGACCCGUGAUCCGGGUUGCGGACAGUGUCUGGUGGGUAGUUUGACUGGGGCGGUCUCCUCCUAAAGAGUAACGGAGGAGCACGAAGGUUGGCUAAUCCUGGUCGGACAUCAGGAGGUUAGUGCAAUGGCAUAAGCCAGCUUGACUGCGAGCGUGACGGCGCGAGCAGGUGCGAAAGCAGGUCAUAGUGAUCCGGUGGUUCUGAAUGGAAGGGCCAUCGCUCAACGGAUAAAAGGUACUCCGGGGAUAACAGGCUGAUACCGCCCAAGAGUUCAUAUCGACGGCGGUGUUUGGCACCUCGAUGUCGGCUCAUCACAUCCUGGGGCUGAAGUAGGUCCCAAGGGUAUGGCUGUUCGCCAUUUAAAGUGGUACGCGAGCUGGGUUUAGAACGUCGUGAGACAGUUCGGUCCCUAUCUGCCGUGGGCGCUGGAGAACUGAGGGGGGCUGCUCCUAGUACGAGAGGACCGGAGUGGACGCAUCACUGGUGUUCGGGUUGUCAUGCCAAUGGCACUGCCCGGUAGCUAAAUGCGGAAGAGAUAAGUGCUGAAAGCAUCUAAGCACGAAACUUGCCCCGAGAUGAGUUCUCCCUGACCCUUUAAGGGUCCUGAAGGAACGUUGAAGACGACGACGUUGAUAGGCCGGGUGUGUAAGCGCAGCGAUGCGUUGAGCUAACCGGUACUAAUGAACCGUGAGGCUUAACCUU